GAGUCAUUUAGCUUAAUAACCAUAAAAGAGUCGGUAAUUAGAUAAAUGGCUAGAAGUCUUUAGAAAAUUGGAGGAGAGGAGAGUAUUCCGAUUUUAGCCCUACCAUUAGCUUUACUUACUACUCUGACAUUUGUCUUUCCUCAGACUAGCUAAUCUAGUUGCUAACCUAUUAACAAUACACGCAAGGUAGCAUGUCUGAGGGUUCAAUUUUCAAAAUCAAUAGGUUCAUCGGGGGAUUAAAGAUGCAUGCAGAGCUUUUCUACUUGUACUUAACCCAGAUAAUCAGAAGCAUGAUUGAUUAAUUUUCCAAAUAAAAGGGUUACUUCUCGAGUAGUAGAGACAGACGGGAACGUCGGUCAUGAUAAAAUGGAAUCAAUACCGGAGAUGAUGUUCGCAGCCAGAGAAGAGCCCUUGGAGUUCGUGUUCUGACAUACCAAUCAUCACGCGCCAUAAAAGAAAAAAUCUCAAUGCGUUAAAAGAAGAAAAAUUGGUGUGAUACGGGAGUCGUCUUUCGGUAAAAUAAUUGAAAUUGUAGACAUAAUAAUUUGUAAUUGUUGAUUUACAUGAGAAUUAGUUGAAGGCGGCCAUAAAAAAGUUGCAGAGUAAAAGCCCUAAAAAACUCAAGGAAGAUGAUGAAAAAUUUACAAUUAUGCCAUUUACUAAAAAAUUAAAAACAAAACGCAAAAUACGCUAUGGUCACGUCGAAACCGGGAACAAAUGGUUACGAGUAGUAGCUUUUACCACUAAACCGUUGGAACUUACUAGUACAAUUCACACAAGUUUAAUAAUAUUACAAACUUCAUCCCAAAAUUAAAAAGUACUAAAAAGUAGCCUGAUUAUAUCCGGAUGUAUAAAUGUUUAUCCGAAACUUGAAAAGUAUUAUCCAGUUUAAACAUGUUAUAUCCGGAUGUAUUUAUGUUCAUCUAGUUUUACAAAGUUAUAUCCGACUACUUAAAAGAAUAGUGAACUGAAUAUGUAAAUGUUAUCCAGAUAUAUGGAAAUGUAUGAAAUGAAAAACUAUUUAUGAAUAAUAAUAAAAUAUUAACUUUAGUAUAAUAUUGAGUAAUUGCAUCCUAUAACUAUACAAAUCGAUAUUAGCUAUCUGGUUAUCACAUUUUCAUAUCUAGGUAACUGGUUAUAGUAAAUAUUAACACUAUGUUUAGUAUUUUGAAUUGAUUAUCCAGUUUAAAAGAUGUAUAAAAUGGUUUAUUUGACCGGUAAAGUUUUAAUCAUUAUGCCCAUUAACAACAAGGACACAGUUUCUGAAGUCAAAGAAAUAGCCCAAGGUAGUAAAGAUAACCGGUUUUCAAAUAUAAAAUCUGGAUAAAAUACGGUGUAAAUACCGGUUAUAUAUUUACGAAACCGGGAAUGAGAAGCAUUUGUAAAAUUUGAUAUGUUUUGAGUAAAAAUAGGGGACAAUUUAAAAAUAAAAUUAAUCACAAAGCAAGUAUUUUGUUAAUAACCGGUUAUAUGGCUCUGAAACCGGAGGUCAAUUUUGAAACAAGCUAAUUAUAAUUGGUUAUAUAGCAUUGAAACCGGUAAUUUGAAUUACUUAAAACAUGAUAUAGCAUUGAAAACCGGUAAUGAUAAGAUGUUGUAACACCGAUGUCAUUGGAUAAACCAAAAGAUAUUUUCUUCUAAUGGACUGAAUGCUUCUGAUGAUAACCUAGACGGCUGUGACGGAGAGAGAUGCAGAGCCGCCGCCAAUUCCAGAUCUAUCACUCCAUGAGAGGUGUUUUCAGGCUGCCUCUACCAGAAUCUACAUAUUUCUUCAGCGUAACAAGCACGCCACCGCCACCACCGAAUCUUGAGGGCCGUGACCGCCGAUGACGUAUUCCCCAUUGCAACAGCAGAGUGGGCGACGUAUUAUCCGCAACUGUCUUCCCCCGCUUGCUUCAGCCAUACAAGAAGCUCUACAACCAUCGUUCUGGUCGACCCGUCAUCGCUGCCGCCACUCUCUCGUCCUUGACUGGCAUCUUAGCCGCUGCCGAUGUGACCUUCUUCAUCGACGCUAUGCUAAUCAAAUGUUAGCUUCCGCAGAAAACGAGAAUCAGAUACAACACAGAAGCGCAGCAAGAGAGAGGAGAGAAGUUACAGAAGAAAGAGAAUGGUGAAGAAAUUAAGUGAGUGAGAGAGAGAAGGAAGUUGAAAUAUCAAUAAGGAAAAAAAGAUAGAUGGAUCAUGUAUAUUGUGACUGCCACUUAGAUGGAUCAUGUAUAUUGUGACUGCCACAUAUUAUUCGAUAAGUUUCACGCAAA